GAACAGGGGACUAGACAAGGUCCCUUCACGUCAAAAGGUGGAUGGACAUAGACACACCCUUCCAACCUUGGUGAGACUGAUUCCUACAUCUUCUAAAGUCGGAACCAGGUUUGGAGAAUGGUUGAAGCUGGAAGGGAUCUUUGGAGGUCAACUGAUACAGUCCUUGCUCAGCCCUGUUCAGCCCUGGCUGGCUUAUGUUCAUUUACAGUUGGCCACAGGAAGGUCAGCAAUCUCCUUUCAGACACCAGGUGGGAUAUUAUUGCUACACGUGCUGUGGAAAGAGAUAAGGCUGAAGCCAGCGUAUGAAACCACAGGGGGUUCAGGCUGAAAGUAAAAGGAUCCCAACUAAGAGAAGGUCAGAGACACAUCUCCAGGAGAUGCUUUGUAUCUUUUGGAUCCUUAAACAGCCAGCUGACUUCAGAAUAAUACCAGAGGAGAUACCCUUAUCAUUCUCAGAGAAGUUAAAUCUAAUGGAUUGCAAUUCCAGUGGGGGGGAUGGUGGGUUGAUUAGGCAAUUACUAGGGCAACUGCAAUUUUGCUAAAUGAUCAACAAUCUUUACAAGGAAGAUGUAGAGCAGAGAAGACGGAUUGAGAAGCUUGAAGGAAAUAAUAACUUCUAUUUAUUUCCCUAUAUUUAUUUGACAUUUGGGGUAUGUCCUCUGUCUUCUGGCCACAUGAAGAGGUGAUAGAGCAGAUGUAUUCAAAAAAUUUGAGGCAUGUUUUUUUCCUGCCAGGUAGAUUAGUGAAAAGAUGUCUCAUUCUAGGGAUGCUUUGCACUGACUGUAUUUGAGACAUAUUGUUCAUAGGCUUCAUGCAGCUGAAGGCUUCUUUUUGCAAUGUACAGUAUAGACAUGUCACAAAGACUGGUUUAAGCCUCAAAUUGUUCAUAGUGCUUGAGAACAGUAAAAAGAGGGAGGAAACCAAUAGAAUGGUGGUAAUGGAAAAUGUUUCCUGUUCUUGAUAUUCAUGGGAAACAGAUAAUCGCCACAACCCCCAUGAAGUACAUGAAUACAGAUUAUUUCUGUUAAUCUCAGUGUGAUUUGUCUAUAGAACUAAAAAAGAAAGCUUUCUGUUUUGCAAAGAGGUAGACAUAGGCUUUGGUACAGAAUUGCUCCUGCAUAUGCUGGUAGGAUUAGGUAUAAAGUUACUUUUGAGAAAGAUUUUGCAACAGGCAUCAUCUGAUUUUGAAACUGAGAUUUUACCAUAAGAAUUCACUGCACAAGACAAGGAGAAACACAAGUUAAUAUAGAUGGAGUAGUUCAGGUCUAUUUUUUUAGUCCAUAAAUUAGUUCUGAGACAAAAUAAGAAAUAUUUAUUUCUACAGUUGAUCUCCAUUGUUUGUAGAACUGAACACAAAAUUAGAUAUACUCCAUGAUUUUUCAGUGCUCAUAGGAAGUUUUGGGACUAUGAGAUGCUCCUUUGCAUCUGCCCAUGACAAACAAGUUGCUCAAGUGCUGGAGGUUAAAAUAAGGAAGAAAAUGAACGUAAUUUUAGAAUGUACUUUGAAUAUUUAAAAUUUAGAAAAAUCAAUAAGAGUUGUUCAGUAGAUCAGAGCAGAAUGCUUAUUGAUUGCAUCAUAUCUGCCAAAUUACCACAAGAGUAUUGUGUAUCAUAUCCCAUAUAUAGUGUGUUUGUGAGUAUAACAUAUACGUAAUAUGUAUGCGUGUAUAUAUAUGUGUGCGUGGGAUUCUGUAAAAUGAAACUACCUGUAUAUUUUUUUCCUGGGUUAUGCCCAGCGCAUUCAUUUAAUUAUUCAGCAAGGACACGCAUUACCAAGUUUGUUGGCCUUUUUCUUUUAUUUCUUUUUCUUCAUAAAAUCUUUGAUUCUUUCUGGCCCUGAUUCAUAUAGUCAGUAGAAUACAUUUAAUGGGCCAAAGGCAUUUUUAUUAUCCUUUAAAAUGUUUAACAGAGUUUCUACAUAAUUUCUCAACAUGCAGUAUUUGUUUAUUUUUGUAUAUUUUUGGUAUAAAGUUGUGACAUUGUCAUGUUAGGUUUUAUUGCCCUGUCACUGUCAUCAUU
rnacentral:lncRNA from 7 species